rnacentral:rRNA from 1 species
CAGUCGAGGGGCAGCGGAGGCGAGUGCUUGCACUUGCCAGACGGCGACCGGCGCACGGGUGAGUAACACGUAUGCGACCUGCCCGUAGCAGGGGGAUAAGCGGAAGAAAUUCCGUCUAAUACCGCGUAAUAUCUUUCGGGGGCAUCCCUGAGGGAUUAAAGGAAGUGAUUCCGGCUACGGAUGGGCAUGCGGCGCAUUAGCUAGUCGGCGGGGUAACGGCCCACCGAGGCGACGAUGCGUAGGGGUUCUGAGAGGAAGGUCCCCCACACUGGUACUGAGACACGGACCAGACUCCUACGGGAGGCAGCAGUGAGGAAUAUUGGUCAAUGGGCGAGAGCCUGAACCAGCCAAGUCGCGUGAGGGAAGACGGUCCUAUGGAUUGUAAACCUCUUUUGUCGGGGAGCAAAAAGGCCUCGUGAGGCCACAAGCGAGAGUACCCGAAGAAAAAGCAUCGGCUAACUCCGUGCCAGCAGCCGCGGUAAUACGGAGGAUGCGAGCGUUAUCCGGAUUUAUUGGGUUUAAAGGGUGCGUAGGCGGACUGGAAAGUCAGCGGUAAAAUCGAGAGGCUCAACCUCUUUCCGCCGUUGAAACUGUCGGUCUUGAGUGGGCGAGAAGUAUGCGGAAUGCGUGGUGUAGCGGUGAAAUGCAUAGAUAUCACGCAGAACUCCGAUUGCGAAGGCAGCAUACCGGCGCCCAACUGACGCUGAGGCACGAAAGCGUGGGUAUCGAACAGGAUUAGAUACCCUGGUAGUCCACGCAGUAAACGAUGAAUACUAAUUGUCCGGUCAGAAUGAUGACUGGGUGAUACAGCGAAAGCGUUAAGUAUUCCACCUGGGGAGUA